rnacentral:rRNA from 1 species
AACGAACGCUGGCGGCAUGCCUAACUCAUGCAAGUCGAACGAGACCUUCGGGUCUAGUGGCGCACGGGUGCGUAACGCGUGGGAACCUGCCCUUAGGUUCGGAAUAACUCCCCGAAAGGGGUGCUAAUACCGGAUAGUGUCUUCGGACCAAAGAUUUAUCGCCUUUGGAUGGGCCCGCGUUGGAUUAGCUAGUUGGUAGGGUAAAAGCCUACCAAGGCGACGAUCCAUAGCUGGUCUGAGAGGAUGAUCAGCCACACUGGGACUGAGACACGGCCCAGACUCCUACGGGAGGCAGCAGUGGGGAAUAUUGGACAAUGGGCGAAAGCCUGAUCCAGCAAUGCCGCGUGAGUGAUGAAGGCCUUAGGGUUGUAAAGCUCUUUUACCCGGGAUGAUAAUGACAGUACCGGGAGAAUAAGCGCCGGCUAACUCCGUG